AUCGCUUCUCGGCUCUUUGAGCUAAGAUCAAAUGUGUAGUAUCUGUUCUUAUCAGCUUAAUAUCUGAUACAGUCCCCAUAGGGGACUCAGAAUAUUAAUCUGAUUUUUGAAACAAGGCGGGAGUAUGAGGCUUGCUUCUACCCUGCUGCAGGUCGACCCGAUAUGGCAGUAAUUUCGGGACUGGCCUAAUAAAU
rnacentral:snRNA from 1 species